rnacentral:rRNA from 1 species
UACGUAGGGGGCAAGCGUUGUCCGGAUUUAUUGGGCGUAAAGCGCGUGUAGGCGGCCAUACAGGUCCGUUGUGAAAACUCGAGGCUUAACCUCGAGACGUCGAUGGAAACCGUAUGGCUAGAGUCCGGAAGAGGCGAGUGGAAUUCCUGGUGUAGCGGUGAAAUGCGCAGAUAUCAGGAGGAACACCGAUUGCGAAGGCGACUACCUGGCCCGUUCUUGACGCUGAGGCGCGAAAGCUAGGGGAGCAAACGGG